AGAGUUUGAUCAUGGCUCAGGAUGAACGCCAGCGGCAGGCCUAACACAUGCAAGUCGAGGGGUAGAGUUCUUCGGGACUUGAGACCGGCGCACGGGUGCGUAACGCGUAUGCAAUCUACCUUAUACAGGGGAAUAGCCCAGAGAAAUUUGGAUUAAUGCCCCAUAGUGUUAUCGAAUCGCAUGGUUUGAUAACUAAAGUUCCAACGGUAUAAGAUGAGCAUGCGUCCCAUUAGUUAGUUGGUAAGGUAACGGCUUACCAAGACAAUGAUGGGUAGGGGUCCUGAGAGGGAGAUCCCCCACACUGGUACUGAGACACGGACCAGACUCCUACGGGAGGCAGCAGUGAGGAAUAUUGGUCAAUGGGCGCAAGCCUGAACCAGCCAUGCCGCGUGCAGGAAGACGGUCCUAUGGAUUGUAAACUGCUUUUAUACAGGAAGAAACCCUCCCACGUGUGGGAGCUUGACGGUACUGUAGGAAUAAGGAUCGGCUAACUCCGUGCCAGCAGCCGCGGUAAUACGGAGGAUCCAAGCGUUAUCCGGAAUCAUUGGGUUUAAAGGGUCCGUAGGCGGCCUUAUAAGUCAGUGGUGAAAUCUCCUAGCUCAACUAGGAAACUGCCAUUGAUACUGUAGGGCUUGAAUUUUUGUGAAGUAACUAGAAUAUGUAGUGUAGCGGUGAAAUGCUUAGAUAUUACAUGGAAUAC
rnacentral:rRNA from 1 species